UUAUAUGCGUCGUCAAAAUUAUAAGGAAUAAUGUUCAUUUCUUUGUUGUAAAAGUAUAUACUGUCAUGUAGUGUUUGUCCUGAUAGAAGGACGGAAACAAAAUUAAAUUAAAACAACAAUAAAAAUGGUGUUUAGUUAUACUAUUUACGAAGGAUGUGGUCGAGAUGGGAGUUCCUUUUAUUUAUAUAAAAUGAGAACGGGAAGCUCAGUAGAUCAAGCUACAGAAUCGGAAUCACAAUCACAUUCAACAUACAAGAAGAAAUGAAAAAUAUAACAGUGUUAUGUCUUAUAAUUUGCCUUUGCAUGGCAUCAUCGUUUGCAGAUGAGAAGUUGUUCAGAGUAAAGCGGCUUACUUGUGGAGGUAUUAUUGAAAGAUAUAUGGGGAACAGAGCUUGUAAUGCACACUGUCGAAUAAUUAGGAAAGGUAGAGGGGAAUGUAGUGGCGGAACCUGCUAUUGUCGUGGUCGCUGAUCACAGUAAUAUUAGCAGGAGUGUUGUUCUGUUGUUUGUUCGUGCUCUAGUUUCAUUAUAUCUAUUUGUUCACGAAAUAAACGUUUGUACAUUAUA